GUUCAAGAAGUGGACAGAAAAUGAAAGCUCCCAUCCAGGGCCUGCCACAAGUGGCAGUUCAUCUGGACCUUGCUGGUGCCAGAUGGUGCCCAGGAAUAAAAUCCAAGUGGAAGUGGAAAGGUGAUGAAGAAGAGUGUUGGCAAGAAGUUGCCUCUGGUGACAGUUGUCUCUUCAAAUCCUCAUGAAACUCUCCCCUUCACGUGAUUCAGUAAUGUGAUCCAAUAAAUGCCUCUUUGUCAAAGCUAGUUUGUAUGGGACUUAGGUCACUUGGAUUCAAAGAGGUCUUGAGUAAUAAAGCAGUGCCUUAGGUGAUCUUCUCUGCUCCUGUGUAAUAUCCCAUUACCCACUCACCUCUCAGCUCCUAAGAAAGUACUCUGUGAUGAGGACUGGUUUCCUGACUCCACCCUCACCUCUGGGAAUGGGCCCAGAAUAUUGUAAGCUGAUCAGCACAUCCCACCCCCUUGACUAUGGUGAUUGGUUCAGAGAUAAGCUUAUGAUCCUGAGUUGAUAUGAGUCAGACUCAGGACUUUUGCUCAACUUUGGGAGCAAUAAGAUUUCCGAUGAUGUGACUUGACCUCUGAUCAAGCCAGUCUGAAGCCCGGUCCACUAUCUAGGUUAGAAUCCCAAUCCUGCUACUCAACGUUACUGUGCCUCAGUUUCUGCUUCUCUAAAAUGGAGACAUAGCAGUCUUCAGAAAAGUUUUGCAAGGAUUAAUGAAUUAGUACAUGCAAAGCAAUUAGACCAGUGCCUGACAUGUACUUAAUGUCCAAUAAAUGCUACCUAUUUACUAUUAUUAAUCCUUAGAUGGUCAAAUAAAUACUCUUAUUUGAGCCAGUUUGUGUUGGAAUUCCUGUCUCACAUAAUCAAUCAAACAAACAAACAAACAAAAACCCUAAAUUGUAUGGAUCACACAGAGAAGAUUUCUUCUUCCAUCUAAGACUGCAAGCAUAUGUCCAUCAUGUCAUGCUACCCAGAGGAAGGGCAUGGCUCAGUUAAGAAAGAAGCAGAGUACAGCCAUGUGUAAUACAUCUAUCAUGUUCUGCAUGGAGCUCUACUCCCUCCCCACAUAACGGUCAGAGCUGUUCAUUGGUCAGUGGCUCUCAAAUUGCCCAGAGGUCCUGUUAAAAUACAGUGACCUUGCACUCUGGAGCGUUGAUUCAGCAAGUCUACCAAUAUUUUUGCAUUUCUAACAAGUUCACAGGUGAUGCAGAUGCUGUUAGCACCCAGAACACACUUUAAGAACCACUGUUCUAAACAUGGAAUCCAACCUGGGGAGUAUGAUAGGGGCAUAAAGAUGCCUGCUUCCUCUGGCUUUCUAGGUAAACCAUAGAGUAGCUUCCUGAGGAUGAAAAGAUUGGCUGAAUUAAUAGCCCUUCCAGAUCCUCAUGUAUCAGAUUUGCUCUGUUAGCAUUUUGUUAAACCAUUUUUUCUGGUUCUUCCUACUCAUUUAUGUCUUCCUUAAAGCAAAUAUUAAAUCACUAAAACAAGUACAUCUGCCCUUAUAGUCCAUGGAGUGAGUAGAGGUCCUGAAAGCUGUUAAGGUAGAGUAGGAAAAUGAUUGGGUAAAACAAGUUAUAUACUUGGAUGGAAAUGCACCAUAACAAAGUCAAAAUCGAUCUAUGUAUAUAUACCAAACAUGGAAGAAAGCUAUUAAGUAUGUUAAGAUUUAGUUUCUGGCUUUUGUGAGUGACAUUUAUUUCCUUGCCAAUUACUGCAUAAGUGAUAUUUACAAAAGUUAUACAAGUUAUUCAGAUAUUUUAAGGGAGUGCUAGUGAGAGAAUGUUUUGAAAACUUUUAUAAAAAUGAGCAGCAGUUUAUAAAUCAUAGAAAAAUGUACAUAAUGUUUCAAACACAUUAAUUUGAGAUACUUGUGUUACUUAAAUAUCCUCAUAUUUUCUAACAUUCCCUUUAGGAUGCGUAAAUUGGAAAUCCACAGACCCGUUGCAAAAUUUUAAAAAUAAUGAAAGGCACCAGUUUGUAGAAAUCACACUGACUUAAUAAACAUCUUCUAUUGAUCUUCUCCCAAAACAUUUAAGUAGAAAUCAUUUUCAGUUUUAGCUAUUCAUUUUUUUAAUUAUUAGAAUGCAAAGAAUCACUAAAACCAAGCCAUCUCUUUAUCAUCUUAUUUAUUUGUUUUGGGUGAUCUUCAGGAUUACCCAGUCUUCAGACUUCAGGAUAUCCAGACAAAUUCUCUUUAACUUAAUUGAAAGAAGGAAAGAAGGAAGGAAGGGACA
rnacentral:lncRNA from 1 species